AGUGGGAUAACUGGGUCAAAUGGUGGUUCCAUUCCAAGUUUUCUGAGGAAUCUCCUUACUGCUUUCUAGAGUGGUUGCACCAACUUUCAUUCCCACCAGCAAU
rnacentral:pre_miRNA from 1 species